UACAAGAGAUGUUAAUGUAAUUUACUUAGGAAAUACAGGAGAGAGGUUUGGAUGAAAAUGUAAUUAAAAUUUUAACUUGUAGUUUUCUCUAUAUAGAUUUCUAAUAGGCAGUUGGAGAAAUGGGUUUGGAGCUCAAGAAAAAGUCUGUGUUGCUGCAGCAUAUAAUUGGUUUUAAAGCCAUGAGAGGAAAGCUGACAUUUAGGUGGACUGCAAAAAGGGAGGAAGAAAAAAGACACAAAAAGAGAGGCCUGGAAGGCAAUGCUCCCACAAACCAGUGAGAACAAUGCGAAAUUUGAGACCAUGAUUUUGGAUCACCUUGACACCGAAAGCCACAGAGAAACACCUCCAUCUUCAAGGGCUUACAUUCCAGGAUGCUAUUCCCCUGGCUCAGAGAGAAUGCUUUAAGUUGUGCUCUGAGCACCCGAGAGAAA